CGUUUUAUUUAGUAACACUUGUUUAACCUUCUGCAACUGUGCCUGACACGUGAUUCAGUACUCGAUUCAGUACUUGAUAUUUUCUUGGUGUUUGACAUACAGCUUGCGAUUUUGAAACCAUGUGCACUUUGACACUUUUAUCAGAGAGGAUCAGAGAGGUGGAACACACCAUCAACAUGUUUGUCAAAAUGAAAUAUUUACCUUUGUUGAUGAUGUACUAUGUAAACACUCAGAAGACUUGUAAGGAACAUUAUAGAUUUAGUGUUUCAAAGGGAAAAUGUAUAGAAUGUGACGCCGGGUACCACGGUUUGAAUUGUUCUUUGCCCUGUCGAUUCCCUAGUUAUGGUGCUGGCUGCCAGAGCUAUUGUGAAUGUAGACUGGAGCUUUGCAGUCAUAUUUCAGGAU